rnacentral:rRNA from 1 species
GUACCUCCGUUGUUUUGGCGGCUUCGGCCGCCAAAGGACCUUCAAACUCCAGUCAGUAAACGCAGACGUCUGAUAAACAAGUUAAUAAACUAAAACUUUCAACAACGGAUCUCUUGGUUCUGGCAUCGAUGAAGAACGCAGCGAAAUGCGAUAAGUAAUGUGAAUUGCAGAAUUCAGUGAAUCAUCGAAUCUUUGAACGCACAUUGCGCCCCUUGGUAUUCCGGGGGGCAUGCCUGUUCGAGCGUCAUUACAACCCUCAAGCUCUGCUUGGAAUUGGGCACCGUCCUCACUGCGGACGCGCCUCAAAGACCUCGGCGGUGGCUGUUCAGCCCUCAAGCGUAGUAGAAUACACCUCGCUUUGGAGCGGUUGGCGUCGCCCGCCGGACGAACCUUCUGAACUUUUCUCAAGGUUGACCUCGGAUCAGGUA